rnacentral:misc_RNA from 1 species
GAAAUGCGAUAAGUAGUGUGAAUUGCAGAAUUCAGUGAAUCAUCAAAUCUUUGAACGCACAUUGCGCCCCUUGGUAUUCCAUGGGGCAUGCCUGUUCGAGCGUCAUUUGUACCCUCAAGCUUUGCUUGGUGUUGGGCGUCUUGUCGGAAUAUCCGACUCGCCUUAAAUACAUUGGCAGCCGGCACUUUGGCCUAGGAGCGCAGCACAUUUUGCGAUCGUAAGCCGUUGUGACAGCAUCCAUAAGAUUUAUUUUACCACGUUUGACCUCGGAUCAGGUAGGGAUACCCGCUGAACUUAAGC